GGGAAACAAAAUGCUAAAACUACAUACGCCGUUAACGAAAGUACACCUGUAAUAAGCUUCAGUUGUAUUGUAGAGGAAAGCUUUUAUACUGACGUUUAACUGCACCUCUACAUCCUCUGAGUUCAAGUUCCCUGCUGCAACAUAAUAAGUUGAAGAUUUCAGUAUUUCCUGGUGGAUAAUACCACUUCCAUGAAUGACAUUCCAUGAUAAAGUUGUGUUUGGAUAUGUCGGGUCCUCGAGCCAUUCAGAAAGGCCUUCACUCCCUUGGGCAAUUACAAGAAAAAUCGAUGAGCUCGGGGAGUUCACAUGGUAUGAAAUAUUUAUUUGAGAUCCCUUAUUCAGGAAAUAUAUCCACUCCUUAUGGGAAUCUGCUGGAACAGAGACAUUAACAGAUUUGGUCCAGGACUUCACAACAUCAAGUGAUGGAGAUUUAUAAAAUCCAUAUAGAAUUAGCUCAGGAUUAUUACUAUCCACCUCUUCCACCUUUACAGACUGCACAAAAAAGGGACUCGUUUGAAUAAGAGCUGAGGUAUUGGGUCCUAUGAUUAUACUCACAGAACCAUAGACUCCCAAAAUCAGAGUCAUUGAUACGAAGAACCAAAAAGUGAAGACAA
rnacentral:misc_RNA from 1 species